UUUUUUUUUUUUUUUGGCCACACCCACAGCAUGUGGAAGUGCCGGGACUAGGGAUGGAACCUGUGCCACAGCAGUGACCAGAGUCACAGCGGUGACAAUGCUAGCUGCUUAACCCCUAGGCCACCAGGGAACUCCUACAUUGUAACAUACCUUCAGCUGGGUUUCUUUAGCCUGUACCAGCAAGACCCAGAGAAUUCCAGAUGCUACAGGACAUGUCCUGAAGAAGAGCAGAAGUCAGAGGGUGGGCAAGAGAGGUGGGGCCAGGGCAGGAGGCUGGCAGGUGCAUUGUGGAGGAGGGGGCUUCUCUUCCUCUGAGACCGUCCUAGGAGCCGCUUGCAGCCCCUGGGCUGGGGCCAGAGGGAGGCUCUGCUUCAAGGACUGCCGAGUGGGCAGCGAGGAAGGCCCCCGCUGAGAGGCAGGAGACAAGGGAGGAAGGCAGCCCCUGUCCUGCUUCUCUCACCACCCUCCCUGCUGGAGAGGAAGCACACCAGACAAGCCGUCAGCUCCAAGCAGGACACCUGGCACUUCCAGUCCCCUGAUUAGGAUGUAGCCCAGCAGCCCUGGCUGCCAGGGGGAAUAGCACUCAGCCCUGAACAAGAACAAAGCACCGACAUGCGCACAAUGAAAGAACCUGAGGGAAAUAAGCCAGGCCCGAGGCCACAGAGGGCAGGAUUUCACUCCUACAAAGUGUCCAGAAUCAGCAAAGCUCAAGAGACAGAAAAAAAGAGUAGAGGUUCCCAGGGGCGGGAGGAGGGGUGUCCUCCAGGAGUGAUGAAAAUGUCCCAGAGCUGCACAGGGCCGCUGACCGCGUGCCACUGCACAGGUGCUGAGAAAGCAAAAGGAGCUCUUCUUGUGGCACAAUCCGGCCUUGUCCCUGUGGUGGCGUGGAUUCAAGCUCCAGCCCAGCCCAGUGCAUUAAGGACCCAGCGUUAACACAGGGACUCCUUAUGCUGCUGGGCAGGAGGGAGGCAGGAAGGAAGGAAGCAAGAAGGAAAAGGAACCCACCUGCAGCAGCUCGGGUCCAGCACCGUGGGAGAAGGCUCUGGCGUUGCCCCGCCUGUGGUCUACAUCACAGCUGCAGCUUGUGUGGAUUCAGUCCCUGGCCUGGGAACUUCUUUAUGCUUCAGGGGCAGCCAUUAAAAAAAAAAAAAAAAACACCCAAAAAACAAAAAAACUGAACUGCACACUUUUAAAAAAAUAUUUUGGCCGCAGCCACAGCAUGAGGAAUUCCUGGACCAGGGAUCAAACCCUUGCCACAGCAGUGACAACACUGGAUCCUUAACUACCAAGCCAUCAGGGAACCCCAAACCGCACACUUUAGAACAGUUGAAAUAGUGCAUGUGCGUGCUCUGGGGUUUCUACAAGUACUGUCUGCUGUCCCCAGGGACCAGUGCCUCUCAGCUUGUUCCCAGCCCUGGUUGCACGGAUUUGAUCAGCUCCGGAUUUCUCCCCCAACAAGCCCCUUUCCGAGUUUUUUGAAAUACACCGAAAACUCAAGGAAAAAUGUCAGUGACAGACACGCAACAUCUGACACAACGUGCUCCUGGGGCUUCACAUGACCGGCUAAGCAGACCCGCAGCAGCGCCCUGGCCGGGAGCCUCGGCACGAACAUCGUUGCUUCACCGACACUGAGGUACCAACGGGGAAGUGACCCGCCCAAGGUCACGCGGAGGGUGGCGGCGCAGCCUCCGGCUACUCCUGCCGGUGGGGGCAGCUCGGGCUGGGUCAUCUGAGCUGAUGGCUGCCACUCCUGGAAUGGCCCAUGCCUCCCUGGGCACCUGCGGGAGGGCCCGCAAGGCUUGCCCCAGUAACCGCACUUCCAGCCCGGCCUCGGCGGGCACGACAGGCCGGGCCUUCCAGGAACUGAGCUGCACGGACAGGGCGGAGCAACAGGCCGUGAGGUCGAGGGUCGCCAGGUACAUGGGGCAGGUACCUGGGUCUGGAGCAAGCUGGUCCAAACCCAAGAGGAGCUCUCAGUUCCGCAGAGAAGACACGGCCCCGAGACACCCUGACCACAGCGCAGCGACGGCAAGAGACGCCUGAGGACAGCACUGCGUGCACAACCGACACCGUCACAGCCCACAGCACGGGCUGGACUUCCUUUCCCCCUUUACCAACAGACAAGAAACACUCGCAGACACGGGGCUCGGAGACCUCUCGGCUGGAAGCAUGGCCCCAUCGGUGCCGGCAGAGCCCCCAGCCUCUGUGACGACGGCCCCUGGCCGUCAGUGUGUGUGCACACUGGGCGGGGGUGGUUUCACGAGCACCCAGGAGCUGGGGGGCGGGAGCCGAGGGACUACGUGAUCGGCAGGGCACUGGCAGCCCGGAGGGGGUGGCCUGGGGCAGCCCCAGCACCGAGCCCCGAGGCCAAAAGCUGCUCAGCCCAGCAGGUGGCUGGCAGUGCCCGGUGAAGCGGGGACCAGGCCUGCAGGCCGGAGGGAGGUCAGCAAGGGGUGAGCGGCGCACCUGAGGACCCAGGGACUGCGGUGCUGCCCCCCCCCCCGGGGGGGGACCCGCUGCGAUGCAGUGGUCACACCUGGGAAAUUCCACCGAGUGAGGCACCCCCUCCCCUGACCAAGCUGCACCCUCCUUCCUAGAGCACCUCCCGCCGUCACGACAGAGGCGACAGUCACCUCCUCCCACCCGCCACCAUUUCUUGACCGUUGACGCCCCUCCAGGCCCCAGGGCUCACCCUCGCACAGAGGAGCACGAGGGGCUCUGGAAGUCGCUCUCUGGUCGAGUCUGCACCUCGGGGACAGAGGCAACGUGGUCACUGGUGUGGAACCCGUAAGGUCUACAAACUCUCCUGGGGUCUGAGUCCUUUUAUUCACACUCAUACAAAGCAGGGUCCUAGGCAGGUCCGCAUUUAACAAUUAAGUCAGUAAGAAAUACACCGAACCGACCAGGGAGGUCCCGCAACAAAACACCACGCUUCCGCGCAGACAAACGGACAGAAAGGAGACCGGCGACUCCGCCCCCCGUGCGAGCACACCGCUUCCGAGAAACUCACCUGCAAAGAAAGGACACGUGAUCAGUUUUUACUCUACUUCCAGAGUCUGAACAUUCAGGGGAUUUAAAUCUGUUAGCACAAGAAAACACCCCCCCCAGUCUAAAGUCUUCACGCAGAACGUGAGGUGGACGGCGCCCUGCGGUGACCCACCAGCCCCGUCUUUCCAAGUCUCCAGGACAUACCCAGGGUCUCCCUCGCCAGUGCCCCAGGCACCCAGACCCCCGGAGCCCUGCACACCUGCACAGGGCCUUCCUGAGAAACCUGCCCUCGGCAGGUGGGACAAAGCCUCCGAACUCAACGCCGGCCCAUCUAUCGCGACACCUCCCCCUCUCUCUGCUGUGUCGUCCCGUCUGCCCCCAGCUCUUGGGCUCCCUGAAGCCUCUCAAGCCCUUUGCUUGCUUCUUGCCUUGGCUGCAAAGGCCUUUACGUUGUCACGGGGCCGCAUCCUGCUGGGUCCCCCGGGAAUGCUCCCUCCUGUUGUCCUGGUCACCUACUGACGUCCGCCCCCUGCGUUCCCAUCCCGACCACCAGGGACCACCCUUGGCUUGACACCCCCGCAAAGCACAGACAUAACGCUCUGCCCACUGUCGUACGUCAAGAAUGGCUUCACCACCGCGUGCUGACACCAGGCAAGGACGGGAGGGGGAGCUGCCUCGCCCAGGAACAGGCUGAACACACCGAGAGUAAGGAGCUCGGUGAGCGGUCGCGGGUUAGCUCCCAGGAAGGGUCCCCAGAAUUCCCACUGUGACUCAAGUGGUCAACAAACCCGACCAGUAUCCAUGAGGACGUGGGAUCGAUCUCUGGCUUCGCUCAGUGGGCUAAGGAUCUGGCGUUGCCAUGAGCUGUGGUGUAGGUUGCAGAUGCGGCUCAAAUCCCAUGUGGCUGUGGCUGUGGUGUAGACGGGCAGUUACAGCUCCGAUUCGACUCCUAAGAACCUCCAUAUGCUGUGGGUACGGCCCUGAAAAAUCAAAAGGAAAAAAAGAGACUCUCCCCAAAGCAGAACCCGUCUCAGCAGCUGCGCGCCACGGUUCCAGGAAGGGUAUCACUGCCCCCUCGGGUAAGUUCUGGACCUGCGCCAUCCCAUCUGGCGGCCACUAGACACAUGCAGCCAUUUACACUUAAGUUAACAUUGAAAACCCAGUUCCUGGAGUUCCCGUCGUGGUGCAGUGGUUAACGAAUCCGACUAUGAACCAUGAGGUUGCGGGUUCGAUCCCUGCCCUUGCUCAGUGGGUUAAGGAUCCAGUGUUGCCAUGAGCUGUGGUGUAGGUUGCAGACGUGGCUCGGAUUGCACAUUGCUGUGGCUGUGGUGUAGGCCAGCGGCUACAUCUCCGAUUAGACCCCUAGCCUGGGAACCUCCGUAUGCCGCGGGAGCGGCUCAAGAAAAGGCAAAAAG
rnacentral:lncRNA from 1 species